GAUGAACGCUAGCGGCAGGCCUAAUACAUGCAAGUCGAGGGGCAGCAUAGUAGCAAUACUGAUGGCGACCGGCGCACGGGUGCGUAACGCGUAUGCAACCUACCUUUUACUGGGGGAUAGCCCGGAGAAAUUCGGAUUAACACCGCAUAAUAAGUUUGAGUGGCAUCACUUGGAUUUUAAAUAUUUAUAGGUAAGAGAUGGGCAUGCGUCCAAUUAGCUAGNGGUGAGGUAAUGGCUCACCAAGGCGAUGAUUGGUA
rnacentral:rRNA from 1 species